AAAUGUUAUUCCCAACGAGUUUGCAGAAAUAAAAGUUCUUUUAAAAGAAGUUAUAGAAAUUAAGUUUCAGGCUACUGGGGUGAAGUUGCUAGAAUCAGUGGACAAAGUGGUUACACUGGAUAAUAAACUAAAAGAUAAAACCGAGUAUACUAAUUUGCUUGAUAGUUUGAAAAAGAUUGGUGGUGGAAAGCCUAGAGAACAUGUUUUUUUGAUCAUAAAAAGAUAUCGGCGACGUGGAAGAAAAUGUUGACGGCAAUGCAGAAAUAUAGUUUCUUAUGUAUAUUUUUGUGAAAUAAAAAUUAAAUAAUGUUAGUUAAAA